GAUGCUAAUAGAGUGAGAGAACAACUUUGAAAUCAUGAAUAUGAUUAGUGUUCCUGAGCUCCUGCGUGCCAGGGUACAUGAAAUGGACUCCCUACUGAAGGCACGAGAAUCUGGUCACAAGCCGGAAACCCUGAAGAUGAUGUACAGACACAAGACCAGCAGAAACAGGAAGAAGAAAAAUAAUAAGAAUAAGUGAAC